UUAAUCUUCUUCCACUUCUUGGAUAUUACUAUUUUCCCCAUACGCGAUUAGGAGAUGAUAUUUUUCAAUUGACCCGAACCAUCUUUAAAACAGGCCUUGGAAUAAUAAUGCAGAGUUCCAGCAAAAUAGCAUAUAUUUUCAUUUUUAAAAGAAUUUUUUUUUUAUAUCUAGUUGGAAGACU